AUUGAACGCUGGCGGAAUGCUUUACACAUGCAAGUCGAACGGUAGAGGGGGCAACCCCUCGAGAGUGGCGAACGGGUGAGUAAUAUAUCGGAACGUGCCCAGUCGUGGGGGAUAACGUAGCGAAAGUUACGCUAAUACCGCAUACGAUCUAAGGAUGAAAGCGGGGGAUCGCAAGACCUCGCGCGAUUGGAGCGGCCGAUAUCAGAUUAGGUAGUUGGUGGGGUAAAGGCUCACCAAGCCAACGAUCUGUAGCUGGUCUGAGAGGACGACCAGCCACACUGGAACUGAGACACGGUCCAGACUCCUACGGGAGGCAGCAGUGGGGAAUUUUGGACAAUGGACGCAAGUCUGAUCCAGCCAUUCCGCGUGCAGGAUGAAGGCCCUCGGGUUGUAAACUGCUUUUGUACGGAACGAAAAGGUCUCUCUUAAUACGGGGACUCAUGACGGUACCGUAAGAAUAAGCACCGGCUAACUACGUGCCAGCCGCCGCAGUAACAC
rnacentral:rRNA from 1 species